UACGAAGGGUGCAAACGUUGCUCGGAAUUAUUGGGCGUAAAGCGCACGUAGGCGGCUUGGCAAGUCGGAUGUGAAAGCCCUCGGCUCAACCAAGGAAGUGCAUCCGAAACUGCGGAGCUUGAGUACUGAAGAGGAUCGCGGAAUUCCCGGUGUAGAGGUGAAAUUCGUAGAUAUCGGGAGGAACACCAGUGGCGAAGGCGGCGAUCUGGGCAGAUACUGACGCUGAGGUGCGAAAGCGUGGGGAGCAAACAGG
rnacentral:rRNA from 1 species